UUCUUCCUACGGGGGGCAGCAGUGGGGAAUAUUGCACAAUGGGGGAAACCCUGAUGCAGCAACGCCGCGUGAAGGAAGACGGUUUUCGGAUUGUAAACUUCUUUUCUUAGUGAAGAAGCAAGUGACGGUAGCUAAGGAAUAAGCAUCGGCUAACUACGUGCCAGCAGCCGCGGUAAUACGUAGGGGGCAAGCGUUAUCCGGAUUUACUGGGUGUAAAGGGAGCGUAGACGGCCAGACAAGUCUGAAGUGAAAAUCCAGCGCUUAACGUUGGAAGUGCUUUGGAAAC
rnacentral:rRNA from 1 species